CUCAAGAGUGGACAUCCCAGCAAAUUUACCUCCAGGUCAGAUUGUGCAAUGAUAGAGUAACAUCUCAGACUCAAUAGGCUUCAUUUAGCAUGUUAAAUGUUAAAGUUCAUGACAGUACAAUUAGAAAAAGACUGAACAAGUAUGGUUUGUUUGGUAGGGUUGCCAGAAUAAAGUUUCUUCUCUCUAAAAAGAACAUGGCAGCACAGCUUAGGUUUGCAAAGUUGCAUCUGGAC